rnacentral:rRNA from 1 species
GAUGAACGCUAGCGGCAGGCCUAGUACAUGCAAGUCGAACGAUACUUUCCAGCUUGCUGGAGAGGAAAGUGGCGCACGGGUGCGUAACGCGUAUGCAACCUACCUUCAUCAGGGGGAUAGCCCGGAGAAAUCCGGAUUAAUACCGCAUAAAAUCACAGGAUGGCAUUAUCCAAUGAUCAACCAUUUAUGGGAUGGAGAUGGGCAUGCGUGUCAUUAGCUAGUUGGCGGGGUAACGGCUCACCAAGGCGACGAUGACUAGGGGAUCUGAGAGGGUGGCCCCCCACACUGGUACUGAGACACGGACCAGACUCCUACGGGAGGCAGCAAUAAGGAAUAUUGGUCAAUGGAGGGAACUCUGAACCAGCCAUGCCGCGUGCAGGAAGACUGCCCUAUGGGUUGUAAACUGCUUUUAUCCGGGAAUAAACCUAAAUACGUGUAUUUAGCUGAAUGUACCGGAAGAAUAAGGAUCGGCUAACUCCGUGCCAGCCGCCGCUGUAAUAC